GACGAACGCUGGCGGCGUGCCUAACACAUGCAAGUCGAGCGAAUGAAAUUCCUUCGGGAACGGAUUUAGCGGCGGACGGGUGAGUAACACGUGGGCAACCUGCCUCAUAGAGGGGAAUAGCCUUCCGAAAGGGAGAUUAAUACCGCAUAAGAUUGUAGUACCGCAUGGUACAGCAAUUAAAGGAGCAAUCCGCUAUGAGAUGGGCCCGCGGCGCAUUAGCUAGUUGGUGAGGUAACGGCUCACCAAGGCGACGAUGCGUAGCCGACCUGAGCGGGUGAUCGGCCACAUUGGGACUGAGACACGGCCCAGACUCCUACGGGAGGCAGCAGUGGGGAAUAUUGCACAAUGGGGGAAACCUUGAUGCAGCAACGCCGCGUGAGUGAUGACGGCCUUCGGGUUGUAAAGCUCUGUCUUCAGGGACGAUAAUGACGGUACCUGAGGAGGAAGCCACGGCUAACUACGUGCCAGCAGCCGCCGUAA
rnacentral:rRNA from 1 species